GUCUACAGCCACAUCACCCUGAAUGUGCCUGAUCUCAUCUGAUCUUGGAAGCUAAGCAGAGUCGGGCCUGGUCAGCAUUGGGAUGGGAGAAAUACAAGGCAAACCACAAAUGAAAGCUCCAUGGGAUACUAAAUU
ensembl:rRNA 5S_rRNA 5S ribosomal RNA